rnacentral:rRNA from 1 species
UACAGAGGUCUCAAGCGUUUGUUCGGAUUCAUUGGGCGUAAAGGGCGCGUAGGCGGCGGGGUAAGUCGGGUGUGAAAUCUCAGGGCUCAACCCUGAAACUGCACUCGAUACUGCUCUGCUUGAGGACUGGAGAGGAGACUGGAAUUCACGGUGUAGCAGUGAAAUGCGUAGAUAUCGUGAGGAAGACCAGUGGCGAAGGCGGGUCUCUGGACAGUUCCUGACGCUGAGGUGGCGAAAGCGUGGGGAGCAAACAGG